ensembl:snRNA U2 U2 spliceosomal RNA
AUCACUUCUUGGCCUUUUGGCUAAGAUCAAGUGUAGUAUCUGUUCUUAUCCAUUUAAAUAAAGGCAAUCCCAAAAUGAAGGCAGUUUAGGCAUCUUGGAAAGGCACAUUCCUCUUAUCUAUGACUUUAGCACAGGCAUCCUUG